rnacentral:rRNA from 1 species
UACAGAGGGGGCAAGCGUUGUUCGGAAUUAUUGGGCGUAAAGAGCUCGUAGGCGGUCUGUCGCGUCGGUCGUGAAAACUUGGGGCUUAACCCUGAGCUUGCGGUCGAUACGGGCAUGACUGGAGUUCGGCAGGGGAGACUGGAAUUCCUGGUGUAGCGGUGAAAUGCGCAGAUAUCAGGAGGAACACCGGUGGCGAAGGCGGGUCUCUGGGCCGAUACUGACGCUGAGGAGCGAAAGCGUGGGGAGCGAACAGG